rnacentral:rRNA from 1 species
UACGGAGGGAGCUAGCGUUGUUCGGAUAUACUGGGCGUAAAGCGCACGUAGGCGGCGUCGUAAGUCGGGGGUGAAAUCCCGGAGCUCAACUCCGGAACUGCCCUUGAAACUGCAAUGCUAGAAUCUUGGAGAGGCGAGUGGAAUUCCGAGUGUAGAGGUGAAAUUCGUAGAUAUUCGGAAGAACACCAGUGGCGAAGGCGACUCGCUGGACAAGUAUUGACGCUGAGGUGCGAAAGCGUGGGGAGCAAACAGG